rnacentral:rRNA from 1 species
CCUACGGGAGGCAGCAGUGAGGAAUAUUGGUCAAUGGGCGAGAGCCUGAACCAGCCAAGUCGCGUGAGGGAGUACUGCCCUAUGGGUUGUAAACCUCUUUUGUCGGGGAGCAAAAGCCGGACGUGUCCGGCUGUGAGAGUACCCGAAGAAAAAGCAUCGGCUAACUCCGUGCCAGCAGCCGCGGUAAUACGGAGGAUGCGAGCGUUAUCCGGAUUUAUUGGGUUUAAUGGGUGCGCAGGCGGAGUUUUAAGUCAGCGGUAAAAUCGUGGGGCUCAACCCCAUCCAGCCGUUGAAACUGGGGAUCUAGAGUGUGCGAGAGGUAUGCGGAAUGCGUGGUGUAGCGGUGAAAUGCAUAGAUAUCACGCAGAACCCCGAUUGCGAAGGCAGCAUACCGGUGCACAACUGACGCUCAGGCACGAAAGCGUGGGUAUCGAACAGGAUUAGAUACCCCGGUAGUC